AUCCACCUGGGGAGUACGGUCGCAAGAUUGAAACUCAAAGGAAUUGACGGGGGCCCGCACAAGCGGAGGAACAUGUGGUUUAAUUCGAUGAUACGCGAGGAACCUUACCUGGGCUUAAAUGCAAACGACGUACCGGGAAACUAGUACUCCCUUCGGGGCGUAUUGCAAGGUGCUGCAUGGCUGUCGUCAGCUCGUGCCGUGAGGUGUCGGGUUAAGUCCCAUAACGAGCGCAACCCCUAUCGUUAGUUGCCAGCGGAUAAUGCCGGGGACUCUAACGAAACUGCCAGUGUAAACUGUGAGGAAGGUGGGGAUGACGUCAAGUCAGCACGGCCCUUAUGUCCAGGGCUACACACGUGUUACAAUGGCCGGUACAGAGGGCAGCUACCUGGUGACAGGAUGCAAAUCUCGAAAACCGGUCUCAGUUCGGAUCGAAGUCUGCAACUCGACUUCGUGAAGGUGGAUUCGCUAGUAAUCGCGCAUCAGCCACGGCGCGGUGAAUACGUUCCCGGGCCUUGUACACACCGCCCGUCAAGCCAUGGAAGCUGGGGGUACCUGAAGUCUGUAACC
rnacentral:rRNA from 1 species